rnacentral:rRNA from 1 species
AGGACGAACGCUGGCGGCGCGCCUAACACAUGCAAGUCGAGCGAGAACCAAGACUUCGGUCUUGGGGACAGCGGCGAACGGGUGAGUAACACGUGGAUAACCUGCCCUCGGCACCGGAAUAGCCCGGGGAAACUCGGAUUAAUGCCGGAUAGCCCCACAGCCCGCAGGGGCGGUGGGAAAAGGUAGCUUCGGCCUCUGGCCGAGGAUGGGUCCGCGGCGGAUUAGCUAGUUGGUGGGUAACGCCCACAAGGCGACGAUCCGUAGCUGGUCUGAGAGGACGAACAGCCACACUGGGACUGAGACACGGCCCAGACUCCGUACGGGAGGCCAGCAGGUGGGAAUAUUGCGCUAAGUGGACGGGAAACCGUGACGCAGGCGACGCCGCGUGGAGGGAAGAGGCCUUACGGUGUAAACCUCUUUACGAGGAGGAAGAGCGUACGUCGGUAAUACGACCGAGGAGGUGACGGUACUACG